UACGUAGGGCGCAAGCGUUGUCCGGAAUUAUUGGGCGUAAAGAGCUCGUAGGCGGCUUGUCACGUCGAUUGUGAAAGCCCGAGGCUUAACCUCGGGUCUGCAGUUGAUACGGGCUAGCUAGAGUGUGGUAGGGGAGAUCGGAAUUCCUGGUGUAGCGGUGAAAUGCGCAGAUAUCAGGAGGAACACCGGUGGCGAAGGCGGCAUCCUGGACCGGUAUUGACGCUGAGGCGCGAAAGCCAGGGGAGCAAACGGG
rnacentral:rRNA from 1 species